rnacentral:rRNA from 1 species
UACGUAGGGUGCGAGCGUUAAUCGGAAUUACUGGGCGUAAAGUGUGCGCAGGCGGCAAAGCAAGUCGAGUGUGAAAGCCCCCGGCUCAACUGGGGAGGGUCACGCGAUACUGAUCGACUCGAAGGCAGGAGAGGGUAGUGGAAUUCCCGGUGUAGUGGUGAAAUGCGUAGAUAUCGGGAGGAACACCAGUGGCGAAGGCGACUACCUGGCCUGUUCUUGACGCUGAGGCGCGAAAGCUAGGGGAGCAAACGGG